UGANCCUGCNGGACCUGACUGCUAUCGGAUUGAUACUAAGCCAUGCGAGUCAUUGUAGUAAUACAAGGCAGACGGCUCAGUAACGCGUAGUCAACCUACCCUAUGGACGGGGAUAACCUCGGGAAACUGAGAAUAAUACCCGAUAGAACAUUAUGCCUGGAAUGGUUUAUGUUUCAAAUAAUUUAUUGCCGUAGGAUGGGACUGCGGCCUAUCAGUUUGUUGGUGAGGUAAUGGCCCACCAAGACUAUUACAGGUACGGGCUCUGAGAGGAGUAGCCCGGAGAUGGGUACUGAGACACGGACCCAGGCCCUAUGGGGCGCAGCAGGCGAGAAAACUUUGCAAUGUGCGAAAGCACGACAAGGUUAAUCCGAGUGGUUUCUGCUAAAGGAACCUUUUGUCAGUCCUAGAAACACUGGUGAAUAAGGGGUGGGCAAGUUCUGGUGUCAGCCGCCGCGGUAAAACCAGCACCUCAAGUGGUCAGGAUGAUUAUUGGGCCUAAAGCAUCCGUAGCCUGCUUUGUAAGUUUUCGGUUAAAUCCAUACGCUCAACGUAUGGGCUGCCGGGAAUACUGCAAAGCUAGGGAGUGGGAGAGGUAGACGGUACUCGGUAGGAAGGGGUAAAAUCCUUUGAUCUAUUGAUGACCACCUGUGGCGAAGGCGGUCUACCAGAACACGUCCGACGGUGAGGGAUGAAAGCUGGGGGAGCAAACCGGAUUAGAUACCCGGGUAGUCCCAGCUGUAAACUAUGCAAACUCAGUGAUGCAUUGGCUUGAUGCCAAUGCAGUGCUGCAGGGAAGCCGUUAAGUUUGCCGCCUGGGAAGUACGUACGCAAGUAUGAAACUUAAAGGAAUUGGCGGG
rnacentral:rRNA from 1 species